UCCCCGCGUCCCUCAGGUGGAGCACAGGGAGCCACAGGGAGACUCAGCAACUGGUCCCGAAUCUCCUGCCCACAUCAGCUCCGGCUCAGUGGAUAGAUCAAGACCAUCGCCACUGCAAGGACAACACAGGGAAGGGAAGAGCGGAUGGGAGUGCCCAGCGUUGUGCGAUGUGUCGCAUGACAUCAUUCAUAAGUACGGGGAUCUAGACACGUGACCAGGGGGGUUACAGAUGGAAGGAGUUCUUUUCUUUCUAGAUUUUCAAUUUUCCUUUUAGCAUCAGACAGAACAUUAUGUGAACAUCCCUUUUCUUCAAACCUUGAUGACAUUUCUUCAAGUUGUAUUUGCAGGACAUCAU